rnacentral:rRNA from 1 species
UACGGAGGGUGCGAGCGUUGUCCGGAAUCACUGGGCGUAAAGGGCGCGUAGGUGGCCCGUGGAAGUCUGCGGUGAAAGCCCGGCGCUCAACGCCGGGUCGGCCGUGGAUACUCUCGGGCUUGAGCUUACUAGAGGCAGAUGGAAUUCCGGGUGUAGCGGUGGAAUGCGUAGAGAUCCGGAAGAACACCGGUGGCGAAGGCGGUCUGCUGGGGUAAUGCUGACACUGAUGCGCGACAGCGUGGGGAGCAACAGG